rnacentral:rRNA from 1 species
GUAGGGUGCGAGCGUUAAUCGGAAUUACUGGGCGUAAAGCGUGCGCAGGCGGUUUCGUAAGACAGAUGUGAAAUCCCCGGGCUUAACCUGGGAACUGCAUUUGUGACUGCGAGACUAGAGUGCGGCAGAGGGGGGUAGAAUUCCACGUGUAGCAGUGAAAUGCGUAGAUAUGUGGAGGAAUACCGAUGGCGAAGGCAGCCCCCUGGGUCGACACUGACGCUCAUGCACGAAAGCGUGGGGAGCAAACAGGAUUAGAUACCCUGGUAGUCCACGCCCUAAACGAUGUCAACUAGGUGUUGGGGGAGGAGACUUCCUUAGUACCGCAGCUAACGCGUGAAGUUGACCGCCUGGGGAGUACGGCCGCAAGGUUG